GACGAACGCUGGCGGCGUGCCUAAUACAUGCAAGUAGAGCGCUGAAGAGAGGAGCUUGCUCUUCUUGGAUGAGUUGCGAACGGGUGAGUAACGCGUAGGUAACCUGCCUUGUAGCGGGGGAUAACUAUUGGAAACGAUAGCUAAUACCGCAUAACAAUGGAUGACACAUGUCAUUUAUUUGAAAGGGGCAAUUGCUCCACUACAAGAUGGACCUGCGUUGUAUUAGCUAGUAGGUGAGGUAAUGGCUCACCUAGGCGACGAUACAUAGCCGACCUGAGAGGGUGAUCGGCCACACUGGGACUGAGACACGGCCCAGACUCCUACGGGAGGCAGCAGUAGGGAAUCUUCGGCAAUGGGGGCAACCCUGACCGAGCAACGCCGCGUGAGUGAAGAAGGUUGUCGGAUCGUAAAGCUCUGUUGUAAGUCAAGAACGGGUGUGAGAGUGGAAAGUUCACACUGUGACGGUAGCUUACCAGAAAGGGACGGCUAACUACGUG
rnacentral:rRNA from 1 species